GCUCAGAUUGAACGCUGGCGGCAGGCCUAACACAUGCAAGUCGAACGGUAACAGGAAUCAGCUUGCUGAUUCGCUGACGAGUGGCGGACGGGUGAGUAAUGUCUGGGAAACUGCCUGAUGGAGGGGGAUAACUACUGGAAACGGUAGCUAAUACCGCAUAACGUCGCAAGACCAAAGAGGGGGACCUUCGGGCCUCUUGCCAUCGGAUGUGCCCAGAUGGGAUUAGCUAGUAGGUGGGGUAACGGCUCACCUAGGCGACGAUCCCUAGCUGGUUUGAGAGGAUGACCAGCCACACUGGAACUGAGACACGGUCCAGACUCCUACGGGAGGCAGCAGUGGGGAAUAUUGCACAAUGGGCGCAAGCCUGAUGCAGCCAUGCCGCGUGUAUGAAGAAGGCCUUCGGGUUGUAAAGUACUUUCAGCGGGGAGGAAGGGAGUAAAGUUAAUACCUUGCUCAUGACGUACCCGCAGAA
rnacentral:rRNA from 1 species